rnacentral:rRNA from 1 species
GGGACGGGAUGUCGAUUGGAGGUUGUGCCCUUGAGGCGUGGCUUCCGGAGCUAACGCGUUAAAUCGACCGCCUGGGGAGUACGGCCGCAAGGUUAAAACUCAAAUGAAUUGACGGGGGCCCGCACAAGCGGUGGAGCAUGUGGUUUAAUUCGAUGCAACGCGAAGAACCUUACCUGGUCUUGACAUCCACAGAACUUUCCAGAGAUGGAUUGGUGCCUUCGGGAACUGUGAGACAGGUGCUGCAUGGCUGUCGUCAGCUCGUGUUGUGAAAUGUUGGGUUAAGUCCCGCAACGAGCGCAACCCUUAUCCUUUGUUGCCAGCGGUUAGGCCGGGAACUCAAAGGAGACUGCCAGUGAUAAACUGGAGGAAGGUGGGGAUGACGUCAAGUCAUCAUGGCCCUUACGACCAGGGCUACACACGUGCUACAAUGGCAUAUACAAAGAGAAGCGACCUCGCGAGAGCAAGCGGACCUCAUAAAGUAUGUCGUAGUCCGGAUUGGAGUCUGCAACUCGACUCCAUGAAGUCGGAAUCGCUAGUAAUCGUAGAUCAGAAUGCUACGGUGAAUACGUUCCCGGGCCUUGUACACACCGCCCGUCACACCAUGGGAGUGGGUUGCAAAAGAAGUAGGUAGCUUAACCUUCGGGAGGGCGCUUACCACUUUGUGAUUCAUGACUGGGGUGAAGUCGAAAAGGGGGGAAAA